UUGGUGAACAAAACUAUCGAUCUUAAAUUAGUUUUUUUUAGACAGUUGGUUUCCAUGAGUUCCGUUUGUUGAUAUAUUUCAGCGUUUUUUUGUUGUUUUUUUUUAUUGUUUUGAGGACUUUUCCCAUUUUUUAAUUAACCGGCUUGUAGUCUGGAAUAUAUGUUAUUGCUAUUUUAAAUCACAUAAUACCAUUUUCUCUAUCAAUCAUACACAACAUCUGUUCAGGAUUCAAAUUAUUCUUCAGAAACAGGCAGUAAAAUGCAAGAGACACCAUU
rnacentral:lncRNA from 1 species